rnacentral:rRNA from 1 species
GAUGAACGCUGGCGGCGUGCCUAAUACAUGCAAGUCGAGCGAACAGAUGAGAAGCUUGCUUCUCUGAUGUUAGCGGCGGACGGGUGAGUAACACGUGGGUAACCUACCUAUAAGACUGGGAUAACCCCGGGAAACCGGGGCUAAUACCGGAUAAUAUUUUGAACCGCAUGGUUCGAUAGUGAAAGACGGUUUCGGCUGUCACUUAUAGAUGGACCCGCGCCGUAUUAGCUAGUUGGUAAGGUAACGGCUUACCAAGGCGACGAUACGUAGCCGACCUGAGAGGGUGAUCGGCCACACUGGAACUGAGACACGGUCCAGACUCCUACGGGAGGCAGCAGUAGGGAAUCUUCCGCAAUGGGCGAAAGCCUGACGGAGCAACGCCGCGUGAGUGAUGAAGGUCUUCGGAUCGUAAAACUCUGUUGUUAGGGAAGAACAAAUUUGUUAGUAACUGAACAAGUCUUGACGGUACCUAACCAGAAAGCCACGGCUAACUACGUGCCAGCAGCCGCCGCAG